rnacentral:lncRNA from 1 species
AGUUCAUGAAUGCAAACAAAAUCGGACUGGCUAUGUAAGCGGAUGAGGUAGCUGAAAUGGUGAAGGAUUUGGUUGUGGUGAAGAAAAUAAAUGUGUCGGAAAUUGCUGCAGACGAUGACUCCAUCAGGGUUCGGAAAAAAAAUCAAAUGCCACAUUUGGAAAUCGAAAACACUAGUGACAGAAAUCAUAUUUUUUAUUGUUAAUAGUAAAUUGUAAAAAAAUCCAAAAAGCACAGUCUACACAAACGAUCGUUGACUCAAUCCUGAAGAAAUUUUCAUACAUGAUUGAUCAGAAUCAAAGUUC